rnacentral:siRNA from 1 species
UACCAGUAUCUUAUGCGUCCUA